UACGUAGGGCGCAAGCGUUGUCCGGAAUUAUUGGGCGUAAAGAGCUCGUAGGCGGUUUGUCGCGUCUGCUGUGAAAACCCGAGGCUCAACCUCGGGCCUGCAGUGGGUACGGGCAGACUAGAGUGCGGUAGGGGAGAUUGGAAUUCCUGGUGUAGCGGUGGAAUGCGCAGAUAUCAGGAGGAACACCGAUGGCGAAGGCAGAUCUCUGGGCCGUAACUGACGCUGAGGAGCGAAAGCAUGGGUAGCGAACAGG
rnacentral:rRNA from 1 species